GGGAUAGAGCAUGCAAAUUAUUGCUCUUCAGCGAGGAAUACCUAGUAAGCGUGAGUCAUCAGCUCGCGUUGAUUACGUCCCUGCCCUUUGUACACACCGCCCGUCGCUACUACCGAUUGAAUGGCUUAGUGAGGUCUCCGGAU